ACAUCCAGUCUCAAGCAUGUAAAAGUCGCUUCGGCGCAGUUGAUAAUACAACUUUCAGCAACGGAUCUCUUGGCUUUCGCAUCGAUGAAGGACGCCGCGAAAGUGCGAAACGUAAUGUGAAUUGCAGAAUUCAGUGAAUCAUCGAAUCUUUGAACGCAUCUUGCGCCCCUUGGUAUCCCGAGGGGCAUGCCUGUUUGAGUGUCGUGAACUUCCAUCGACCCUUGGCCUUGUAAUGGGGCCUCGGGGCGGAUUUGGACGUUGCGGGUCCCGUCCAGCGGUCCGCUCGUCUUGAAGUGCAUCAGCCGGCUCUAACGCCUCGGUCUGACGGCGGCGUGAUAAGGUAUUCGUGCCGUAUUCGUCGUCUUGCGAUCGGGGUGCGAAGCGGUCGCCUUCUAAUGGUCUUCGGACGCCGUAUUGUGAUCUGACCUCAAAUCAGGUAGGACUACCCGCCGAACUUAAGCAUAUCAAUAAGCGGAGGAAAAGAAACUAACAGGGAUUCCCCUAGUAACGGCGAGUGAAGCGGGAAGAGCUCAAAUUUGUAAUCUGGCGGCCUCCGGUCGUCCGAGUUGUAAUCUGGAGAAGCGUCUUCCGCGC
rnacentral:rRNA from 1 species